UCUGAUAUUCGCUUAACAAUAACCAAUUUUUUCUCCUCCUUGCAGUCAUGGAUGAAUGGGUGAGCAACCUAACUUUAUCACUCAGUUCUAUAUUCCACCAAGAGGAUGUAAUCAAGCGAGUGGUGGAGGUAAUUAAAGACCUUGGAGUAAGUUCCGCUGAGGACCUUAAGUAUUUGGAGGCAGAUGACCUCGCAGGAGUCCUUAGGCCAAUAGAGAUCCGAAAAGUAAUUGCCCACCUUAAAUCGAUGGGAAUGUUGAAUGAUUCCUCCUCACAAGCUCAUACUCUAAUUGAGGAGUCAAGCACUGGUGAAGAUUCAUUUCUUAGUGACAUUGAUGAUUAUGUCACCAGCAAUAACUCCACACUAAAAACCACUGCUGCAAGGAGCUCAGCUUUGGUCAUGUCAAAGAGCAGUCAAGCAUCACCCAUUAUGCCAAGUCCAGCCUCACCCAGUGUUUCAAGUCAAGCCUCACAUAGUGUUUCAAAUCAAGCCUCACCCAGUGUGUCAUGUCCAGAAUCAUUUUCUGCAUCAGAGAGUGGGUCCUCCCCUUUAGCCAGGGAAAAUAAUAGCUGGCAUUUCAGUUUUGACAUACCCUGGAGUAAGUUGGCCCCAAGUGCAAGACAACUUUUAGAAAAUGAGCAGAGGCCAUCUGCAGCAGAAAGAAGAGAGAUUAUCAGGAUUGUAGUGGCUGAAGUACUCGGUGUGUGCAAGAAGCCAGGAAAGAGGCACAUUGCUGAGAUAGCCAGGCAGAUGGUAAUUCGCUACCCGAAGUCAUUCCGAGAUGAAAUUGAGGGCCAGGUUGUUGGCACUGGUUAUGACUCCAUUGUAAAGCAAUUGAUGACUCCAAGCUCCCACCAAUAAAAGGUUAUCUGAAAGUGGCAGGCCUGAGAACGUAAAGAAAGGGUAAAGAUGCAUAUGGCUGCAUUAACCCUGACCCAGAGCUUACUAGUAGUGAAACAAAACAAUUGCAAGAUCAAAAACAAGAAGAGCUAAUCAACAUGUUCAAAAACAAUGAUAAAGAUGAAAAGAGAGUUGAAAAACUGAUGGUGGAGACGUUUCCCUCACAGAGAAGAGACUUAUUAUCAGGACUGAAGGAGACCAAAGAGAUCUUUAAGGUGUGGCCUUUCCUCUACCAGAAAAUUGGAAUGAGGCUUCAUUUCAGAGAACUAACAGGCAUCCAGAUUGAUGACACCUUUGAAGAGUCCACAGGUUCCAAGAUCCAGAGAAUCCUGCGGUACUUUCCGUUCGUCCAAACUGAUCCAUCAAGCAGAUUUGGCACUGUUCUUAACCAAACUCUGGAAGGAGGUGAUGACACUUGUGCAGCUGUUCAGAUGCUGCUAGCUCAUUUCAAAGAGCAACAAGAGAAAAUGUUUCUAAUUGUCGAUGACACUGCCAUUGCAAGCGAUGUUGACACCACUAAGCUUCCAUGGAACCCCUGCAUUGUGGUUUGUGGAAACAACCCACUUACUGCCAAGAUGUUCAUGGUUGCAGUGGACCAGUUCAUAGUCAACGAUCAGCUUCCCAGCUUCAACAAAGCAUUCCAGAUGAUGUUCUGCUCAUAUUACCUGCACAACAUUGACUAUCCAGUGGAAAUUGCAGCCACGCUGGAGUUCUUACAGAGAUGCAUCUUCAAAAUUAACCAUGAUCAAGGGACCAAAGUCACACGCAAAGUAAAGGGACGCCAGUACGCCAUCAACCCGAGAGUGUUGAGCCUCAUUUCCAAAAUUGCAAAUUUUGAGUGGACAGAGUAAAUGGUAUGACCCCCUCACAAAACGACACAAUCAUCAGAUAAAUUUGUACAUAAGUCAGUCCCAAAUCAUAUCUUUUGUUAGUUUUGAGGGCAAAUACACACUGAAAGGUGGUCAUGGUAUCUCUUUAUUUUUUAUAAGUGACAUAAUUUGCUUUAUAUUUUAGAGACUUAUAAUUCUGCCACAUUUCUAAAAUAGUUGUAUAAUUAAUCUUACAGUUCUUC